rnacentral:lncRNA from 1 species
CUUUUUUCUCUUUUUUUUUCUUAAUUUUUUUUUCUUUUUUUUUUUAAAUUUUUUUUAAUGCCCCAGUUGGCUGUUCUGCUGAUUCUCGAGAUGCAGCUGAGUGAUCUUCUUUUCUUGCUCAAGGAGUCGGGAAAUCUCGUCAGGAAUCCCUUCAUCAUCAUCUUCUUCCGCUUCGAAUACAGGGAAUUCAAAAUUGGGAGAUGACGUC